rnacentral:rRNA from 1 species
CAGCACCUCAAGUGGUCAGGAUUAUUAUUGGGCCUAAAGCAUCCGUAGCCGGCUCUGUAAGUUUUCGGUUAAAUCUGUACGCUCAACGUACAGGCUGCCGGGAAUACUGCAGAGCUAGGGAGUGGGAGAGGUAGACGGUACUCGGUAGGAAGGGGUAAAAUCCUUUGAUCUAUUGAUGACCACCUGUGGCGAAGGCGGUCUACCAGAACACGUCCGACGGUGAGGGAUGAAAGCUGGGGGAGCAAACCGGAUUAGAGACCCGAGUAGUCC